UAAGUAAAUAAAAUCUAACUGUUAAUUAGAAAAUGUUAUUACAAUAACUUACUUAG
rnacentral:tRNA from 1 species